GAUGAAGAACGUAGCGAAAUGCGAUACGUAAUGUGAAUUGCAGAAUUCAGUGAAUCAUCGAGUCUUUGAACGCACAUUGCGCCCCCUGGUAUUCCGGGGGGCAUGCCUGUCCGAGCGUCAUUGCUGCCCUCAAGCACGGCUUGUGUGUUGGGCCUCCGUCCUCCUCUCGGGGGACGGGCCCGAAAGGCAGCGGCGGCACCGCGUCCGGUCCUCGAGCGUAUGGGGCUUCGUCACCCGCUCUUGUAGGCCCGGCCGGCGCUUGCCGACACAUCAAUCUUUUUUCCAGGUUGACCUCGGAUCAGGUAGGGAUACCCGCUGAACUUAAGCAUAUCAAUAAGCGGAGA
rnacentral:misc_RNA from 1 species